UACGUAGGGGGCUAGCGUUGUCCGGAAUCAUUGGGCGUAAAGAGCGCGUAGGCGGCUAGAUAAGUCCGGUGUGAAAGUCACAGGCUCAACCUGUGAAUGCCGCUGGAAACUGUCUGGCUAGAGUCCGGAAGGGGCGAGUGGAAUUCCUGGUGUAGCGGUGAAAUGCGCAGAUAUCAGGAGGAACACCAAUGGCGAAGGCAGCUCGCUGGGACGGUACUGACGCUGAGGCGCGAAAGCUAGGGGAGCAAACAGG
rnacentral:rRNA from 1 species